rnacentral:rRNA from 1 species
GACAGAGGGUGCAAACGUUGCUCGGAAUUACUGGGCGUAAAGCGCGUGUAGGCGGACCAGCAAGUCAGGCGUGAAAUCCCUAGGCUCAACCUAGGAACUGCACCUGAAACUGCUGGUCUGGAGUAGUGGAGAGGAAAGCAGAAUUCCUGGUGUAGAGGUGAAAUUCGUAGAUAUCAGGAGGAACACCGGUGGCGAAGGCGGCUUUCUGGACACUUACUGACGCUGAGACGCGAAAGCGUGGGGAGCAAAC